CAGCCGCCGCGGUAAUACAGAGGGUGCGAGCGUUAAUCGGAUUUACUGGGCGUAAAGCGUGCGUAGGCGGCUUUUUAAGUCGGAUGUGAAAUCCCUGAGCUUAACUUAGGAAUUGCAUUCGAUACUGGGAAGCUAGAGUAUGGGAGAGGAUGGUAGAAUUCCAGGUGUAGCAGUGAAAUGCGUAGAGAUCUGGAGGAAUACCGAUGGCGAAGGCAGCCAUCUGGCCUAAUACUGACGCUGAGGUACGAAAGCAUGGGGAGCAAACAGGAUUAGAUACCCCCGUAGUCCCUGUCUCUUAUAC
rnacentral:rRNA from 1 species